rnacentral:rRNA from 1 species
AAGUCGUAACAAGGUCUCCGUUGGUGAACCAGCGGAGGGAUCAUUACCGAGUUUACAACUCCCAAACCCCUGUGAACAUACCUAUCGUUGCUUCGGCGGGACCGCCCCGUGGCCUUCGUGCCCGGAACCAGGCGCCCGCCGGGGACCCCAAACUCUUGUAUUUUUUGGAAUUAUCUGAGUGAAAAAACAAAUGAAUCAAAACUUUCAACAACGGAUCUCUUGGUUCUGGCAUCGAUGAAGAACGCAGCGAAAUGCGAUAAGUAAUGUGAAUUGCAGAAUUCAGUGAAUCAUCGAAUCUUUGAACGCACAUUGCGCCCGCCAGUAUUCUGGCGGGCAUGCCUGUUCGAGCGUCAUUUCAACCCUCAAGCCCCCGGGCUUGGUGUUGGGGANCGGCCACCGCAGACCUCCGGGUCCGCAGGCCGCCCCCUAAAUGCAGUGGCGGUCACGUCGCGGCAUCCUCUGCGUAGUAGCACACCUCGCAGGCGGAUCGCGACGCGGCCACGCCGUAAAACCCCCAUCUUCUGAAAUGUUGACCUCGGAUCAGGUAGGAAUACCCGCUGAACUUAAGCAUAUCAAUAAGCGGAGGAAAAGAAACCAACAGGGAUUGCCCCAGUAACGGCGAGUGAAGCGGCAACAGCUCAAGUUUGAAAUCUGGCCUUACGGUCCGAGUUGUAAUUUGUAGAGGAUGCUUUUGGUGAGGUGCCUUCCGAGUUCCCUGGAACGGGACGCCAUAGAGGGUGAGAGCCCCGUCUGGUCGGACACCGAGCCUCUGUAAAGCUCCUUCGACGAGUCGAGUAGUUUGGGAAUGCUGCUCAAAAUGGGAGGUAUAUGUCUUCUAAAGCUAAAUAUUGGCCAGAGACCGAUAGCGCACAAGUAGAGUGAUCGAAAGAUGAAAAGCACUUUGAAAAGAGGGUUAAAUAGUACGUGAAAUUGUUGAAAGGGAAGCACUUAUGACCAGACUUGGGCCCGGUGAAUCAUCCAGCGUUCUCGCUGGUGCACUUCGCCGGCCCAGGCCAGCAUCAGUUCGCCGCGGGGGAUAAAGGCUUCGGGAACGUAGCUCCUCCGGGAGUGUUAUAGACCGUUGCACAAUACCCUGGGGUGGACUGAGGUUCGCGCUUCCGCAAGGAUGCUGGCGUAAUGGUCAUCAGUGACC